rnacentral:piRNA from 1 species
GGACGUAGCCUGUACGAUAGCAGAACGUG